AUCUCUGUGGCUCCAUGCCCCACCUUCUUAGGUCUGCACCUGGACCCAGUGAGCUCCUCCUUGGCCUCCAUGGAAGUGUCCGCACCACCAACACUUCCUGUCCUCCUCGCUUGCUUGCUUUUUGCAUUCACAGUGGAAAUUUGGACAGAGACAUGUGGAGGGAAAACAAUGUGAAGACACUCGACGAGAAGAUGGCCUCGUGUCAAAAGUGAUGCAGCUGUAAACCUAGGCUCUCCAGGGAACCACCAGUAGCUGAAAAGAUCAAUGAAGGCAAAAACCAGGAGAUCCCAUAAAUUCUGCUGCACCUGUCCUCGCUGUCAAAUUACGCCCUGAUAAAGCUUCUGAUGGCUAAUGAUGUGGCCAUCACCCAGAAUGGAUGCACGUAGGAGGGGCUUUCCAAGAGCAUCUGACCCACCAUGGGGACACUUGUCACGCAGCGUCACCUGGAGGUUCUGUGGCUCCAGUGAAGGGUGAUUCUUUGAACAUCAUUUUCUCUAAAAACAAAAUAAGAAUGACAAUUUAAAAAUAAACAAAGAUGUGGAUUUAAAGGCUACUUAGCGUCCCAGGACCAAGAUUAAUGGUGAGUGGCAAGUUUUUGUGAAGUUCUUCUGUAGCCUGAUUAGCUGUGCUGGGAGUCCAGAGAGAUAAUGUCUUUUCACAUAUAAAAGAUCCUAUUGAUUUCCUGUUAGUAUUAUCCUGAAAAUGUGCAGCGUAUAUCCAUGGAGCAGAGUCAGUCUUCCAUCACUUGCUUUAUGGGAAGAGAAUGGUUAUUGU